CUAAAAAUUAUACUGAGGUGGGUAUCUCAGCUCAAAAAAGACAAAUGUAAGCAUGUUCUGUCUCUUAUGCAGAUUCUGGCCCCUGAUAUUAUAUUUUGUGCAUCUCAGAGCAGAAGUGGAAGUCAGGCAACUAGGAAACACCAUGGGGAGAAGACACAUUAAGAGAAGACUGAACGUUAAAGAGAUGAAAUGAAAAGUUGCUGUGGAUAAUUGCAGGCAUGUGAAAAUAAUCAGCUUGCUAGCAGUGAUAAAAGAGCAAUACACACAUCUAUCUUUUCUGAUGAAGUCAAUGUAUUAAAAAUGUUGUUAAGCUGUGGCAUCAAAUUAUGAUCACCUGCAUUCUACAUCAUGGGCAGAGGCUUUGUAAGGUACCUACUGAAAAAUCUCAGUGAAACUCAGCUCCCAACUAUCCUGUUA
rnacentral:lncRNA from 1 species